AUCACUCUCAGGUCCCUGCAUCACUUGACAAACCAGAAUACGCUGCAUGCACAAAUCCUUCUGCAAAUGGAGGCUUAUCCCUCAAAACCUGUCCUGGAAACUGUGUCUGAGAGGCCAAGCACUUAGUCUGACCCUUCUCUUCUCCUCUCCUAUUCAGCUCCAGGCAGGCUGGCUUCCAUUUCAGUCCAGGGAGGUCUUGGUUUGGCUCCCCGUGCUCACUGAAGUGACCUGAACUCACGCUGGACUUUGCUGCUGUGGUGGUGGGGAAGCUCCAAGCUGCUGUGGUCUCCUGGCUGGGCCAUGGCUUGUCAUUGAUUGAGCUUGUCUGUUGUUUCUUCUGACUCACCUGUGGAGAAUUGUUUUUCCAGUUUAUGACAUCUCCACAUUAUGGAGCUGGCCUAUUUCCUGAACCAGAAAGCUGCAGCAAAAUCACCAGCUUGGCCCUUGCAACUGGCUAGUGGGUAACAAGUCUGUGUAGCAGCGCUCUUUUGGAGGUUCUCAAAAUCAAGAGCCAAUUCACGACCCCGCUGAGCAGUUCUGCAGAAGAGACCUCAUGUUUCUCUUUAGAAUUUUGGUAUCAUCUUUACCAAGUGACAGCUGGCUAAAGCAUCGUGCUACUGAUUCCAGAAAUCUCUUUUGGAGAUUGGUCAGAACAAGCUGCGCUGACUUUGACUAUUGUUUGAGCAAUACUCUGAAAGCAUUCCGCGCUGCCCGCAGGUGCAGGUUGGCUGAAGGUGGAAAUGAAAGGAUGUAGUGUUGAAGAGGGCUGAGCAAUGCUAAUGAUACGAUGGUCCAGAACUGUAAUGAAGAAUGUGACCUGUGUAGGAAAAAUAAGCGGUGGAGACAAAAGAAUGAGAAGAAAGAAACUCACAAGUGUUCCACCUAGUGAUGGACCUGCUUUCUGACUAGACAGUGAAGCUGCAAAUUUAUCACAAAAUGUGCCUAGCAUCCUCUGUGGCCUCUUUCUCUAGGGGUUGCAGAAAUAGAGAACCAGUCUCCUUGCUCCUUUCCUGGUCAGGUGAGCCGAGGACUAGAAAUUACAACUGCUCAAUACUGAGAUGUAUCAGCUCAGUGGCGUGCAAAUAAUCCGCAAGACAUUAGAUAAACUACAUUUGUCUCAUAUAAGAAUUCAGAUUAAAUUACGUAUACCUAAAGCUCAUUCUGAGGUGAAAGCAGAAAGUGAAAACAGAGACUUACUGUGAUUUCAUUGGGGAUGCAAGGCUCUGGCACUUUGUUUCAAAAGUACUUGUUAAUGUGUCUUGAUGGGUUUUGAUUUUUCUUUUUUCCCACCUCUAUAUUUUAACCUUAUUCCCUCCCAUGCAUUGCUCCCGAUGGUGGGUUGUUCUCCCCCUCGGCCUCCGCUGUUCGCCGGGGCAGCGGGCACAGCGCGGGGCUCUGCUGUCCCCUCCUGCCCCGCAGGGACACACCUGUCCCCCUUUCCCAGGGCCGGGUGGGAAAGGUGCCCAGAUGUGCAGAGCCGUCUAGGAACAGCUGCGCCCAGCGCGACACUAAAAUCAGAGCUCUCCGCGGCCUCACUGGGAAAAAGUCGCAGGGAAUCGAGCCAAGCGGGAUAUUUUUAGUUCCAUUUUUUAAGAAGGAAUGUUGCACGAUCUGUUUCUUGGCAUUUGAAAUUUCUGCAUUAAUUCAAAAUUCUAAGCUUAGUUUGAAAACAAAAUUAAAAGAGUUUGAUUUUGGAAAAUGGCAAUGAAUCAUAUGUAAUCGUUGCUUUUGAAGUUUGGAUCUUUCACUCUGGCAGGAGUCAUAGAAAUUUCCAAAUAGUUUUUAAUAGUCCAAAUAUGCAUUUUUUCAACAGAAAUUUAGUUUAAUUCUGAAGAAAAUCAUCUAGCAUCUAUGUGAUCAUUUAAUGCAUGGCAUCAUCUCUGGAGGAUAUGUUUUUUUAUUUCAACUAAAAAAAAGUGUUUUCAUUUCUUUCUUUACUUUUCUUUACUCUGACUUACCUUUUGGUAUUGUAAAACAACUAGGGAUGCACACAAAGCAUCUAUUUUUCUGCAUAUUACUAUGUAUAUGUCAUCCAUACCUUGUAAGCUCUUCCUAGUUGCAGUACUGACAGUGUCUGUUAUGGUUUAUUGGAUAUUUUAGUUCUUUAAUUUAUUUGAAUGGAGGAUUUGAUGCCAGGAGGGAAUGAAGAAUGCAGUGGACUUUGAAGGUGCUGUGCAAAAGCUGUACACUGAAUUUACAUAAAACAGAUGCUGACAAUAAUGACAUUUCUGCUACUGGGUGCUCAUUCUGCUUGAAACAUAUUUUGGCUUUGUGGAUUAUCUGGAAGCAUAGCCUGUAAAUGCAGCUUCUGUUUUCUAACAGUGUGAGCAAACCCCUGCAUCUCGCCACUCUUGAAAGCUGUUGGCAGUUCUGCAGCUUGCAGCUGAAUCAUCCCUGUGUGUUUAUUUUACUGGCACUCUGAGGUUUUUUCACCCUAAUUUCUGUGGGUUAUUUCAUACCCCACAAUAAUUUUCCCACAUACAAAGCAAUUUAAUUCCUGCUUGCUUAAAUGGCUUAAAUCCUGUUCUGGUUGCGUGCCUUCUGACUUGACAGGAGUCAUAAGCAUCGGUGCUAGAUCCUAUGGAAAAUAUCACACGUAAUUCAGAAUUGGGCUAAUUAUUAGUUCUUUACUGAAGAGGUCACUGAAGCUUGUAUGAGCUUGGUCUACAAAGCUCUUUUGUUGGACUCUGUUCUUUGCUGAAGGCCAGUGUAAUCCCCAAUUGUGUAUCCCACAAGCAAGAAUGAGAAUGAGCGGAGGAUCCCUCAGAAACAUGCUGGGCAGGGCUCGAUUAAAGAGAUGGAGGGCUUCAGCCUGCUGGAAACGGGCUGAAGUGGAGGGUGGCCUGUAUUUCAAAGGACUUAAAAGUCAUGUAGAGUUCAGCAGCCUGGGACACUGCUUUCUGCAAAAAGCACAGUCAGAAACAGAGCUGAGAUUUCUAAUGGUGCUCUGUAAGUUCAAAAAAUGCUUUGAAAGUGAGA